rnacentral:rRNA from 1 species
CUACGGGACGCUCCAGUCGAGAAUCAUUCGCAAUGCGCGAAAGCGUGACGAUGCGACGCUGCGUGGAGGAUGAAGGCCCUCGGGUCGUAAACUCCUGUCAGGAGGGAAAAGCCGGCACUUGGUCAAUACCCUUGUGCCCCGAUGGUACCUCCAGAGGAAGCCACGGCUAGCUCUGUGCCAGCAGCCGCGGUAAUACAGAGGUGGCGAGCGUUGUUCGGAUUUACUGGGCGUAAAGGGUGCGUAGGCGGCGUGCAAAGCUGGAUGUGAAAUCCCGGGGCUCAACCCCGGAACUGCAUCCGGAACUGGCAUGCUAGAGACCAGGAGGGGAGAGCAGAAUUCUAGGUGUAGCGGUGAAAUGCGUUGAUAUCUAGAAGAAUACCGGUGGCGAAGGCGGCUCUCUGGAAUGGUUCUGACGCUGAGGCACGAAAGCGUGGGGAGCAAACAGGAUUAGAUACCCUCGUAGUC